AGCAGCCGCGGUAAUUCCAGCUCCAAUAGCGUAUAUUAAAGUUGCUGCAGUUAAAAAGCUCGUAGUUGAAUUUCGGGACCAUCAUGUCGGUCGUGCCUCGGUACGUACUGGCAUUGUUGGUUUCUCCCUUCUGACGAACCAUGAUGUCAUUUAUUUGGUGUUGUGGGGAAUCAGGACUGUUACUUUGAAAAAUUAGAGUGUUUAAAGCAGGCUCACGCUUGAAUACAUUAGCAUGGAAUAAUGAAAUAGGACGUUUGAUUCUAUUUUGUUGGUUUCUAGGAUCGACGUAAUGAUUAAUAGGGAUAGUUGGGGGCAUUAGUAUUCAAUUGUCAGAGGUGAAAUUCUUGGAUUUAUUGAAGACUAACUACUGCGAAAGCAUUUGCCAAGGAUGUUUUCAUUAAUCAAGAACGAAAGUUAGGGGAUCGAAGACGAUCAGAUACCGUCGUAGUCUUAACCAUAAACUAUGCCGACUAGGGAUCGGAUGAUGUUAAUUUUUUAAUGACUCAUUCGGCCG
rnacentral:rRNA from 1 species